UCUCCUUUCUCCUUCUCUCGCGAAUGAACCCGAGCGUUUGAGAACCACUCCCAGAUUCCUUGUGGACGGUCCCUCCCCACUCUUCCCCGGAGACCGCCGGAGUUGGGCAAGAGUCCCUCCCCUUUGUAGCUGUAGUUGUAUUUAGGGUCUUAAUGAAUCAGAUUUGACUUCGAGCUUUUGCCGGUAUCUCUCCUUUUAGAUCUGGCUGGAAAGGCCACCGGAGACGGCAACGAUAGCAGUGUUUGCUACACUUUUGAGCUGGCUCUGGUUGUCAACUUCCAACAAGUGUCCCUUCUUCCGUGCUACCAAUGGAGGCUACUAGUGGCAGGACGCCAUGAGUAUGCUUGGGCGUAUCAGGCUCUGCCGACGAGCUACUUGCUCCCGGCGCUGCCAAUGCCAAACUGCCCAUAGAGGAUGAGUGGAUAGAAGGGCACUUCGCAACAGGGUUACGACGAGCAAGGAACUUUUGGACUUUGGAACAAUUCUCUACUACACUGCUACUAUGAAAAUAUUAACAGCAUGUAGAUUUGCUUCAGUGUCAGUUGUUGUUAUGAGUUUCAACUCAUCUCAGCAUGGUCUUAACGUAUGACUGUCUUCAUAGCCCUCAAAGAAGAAAAAUCCUAUAAGUUUAGCACAACUGAUGCUGUUUCAUUUGACGAUCAGUUUUAUUAAGCAUAAAAACAUUCAUGUGACAUCUUUCAUUUGUAAUGCAAUGAGCAAUAAAGACUUGUAGAUUGUGUACCACUCUACUUGUGAAAUUCUUGGCAUUUUGGUUGUCUUUUGGGUCUAUUUACUUCACACAAAGUUUAGCAUUUUUAAACUCUUGAAUGCUUGUAACCUAAUGAUCUACUUAUAGUGUGCUCAUGACAAGGUCUGAAUGCUUCUAAACUUAUUGAACUAAAGGGUCCUGAUGAUUACAAUUUAUCAAUGUUUAUAGAGUAUAUUCCAAUGCAUCUCAUCCUGAUAUAUUUUGUUAAAUAGAACAAUAUUUCAGCAAAGGACAUGUCCUUUUUUUUUUGUAUUUCACAAGUACGUGAUUACCAUAUAAACUGAAAAUUGCUACAUUGGUAGCAUACAUACUGCAUUUUUUAGCCCAAAUUCUAAAAAGUGCAGCUGCACUUUUUAGACGUCCCGAGCACACAGGCCUGCGAGCCGUUGGAUGCGCGAUCACGGUCCCCAGGUGUGCCGCUGUAGGAGGAAAUCGUCCGUGCUAAUUCAACCGCCGAAGCGGCAGCCAGUGUAAAAUAAAAGCUUCGCUAUUUCUUCCUAGAAAAAACACCUAGCCCGAUCCCCUUUUCCUUGUCGAGCAGAGGAGCGCCGGCGUCGAUUCCCGGGUGGUCGAGGGGGAGGCGGUAGAUUGGAGGAGCCCGAUCCUCUUCAUCCUCUCUCUCGCGACCCGAUCCUCACCAACUCCUCCUCCCGGCGACGCACCCCGCCUCCUCCAAUCGGCGAAAUGCCCCCUCCCACUCGCCGGAGAGCGCCGUUGCGCCUCCGCAGCCAUCGGAUGCCAACAGCCCCUCCCCCCGCCACCGCAUCUCCACAGCCACCGACCCCUCCGGAUCGCCGCAUCGCCAGGAUCUCAGCAGCCUGCCGGAUGCAGCCGCUGCGCUCGGAUCCCCGCGGCCUCCUGGAUCCCAUCGCCGCCGGGUCUCCCGCUCCAACGCCGGGCCGACCCAUAUCCAUGACGAAGGCGAGCGCGCACUGCCUCCAUGCUCCUCAUUCAGGGCCGUUGGCCCUGACACCAUCACAGCGGGCCUCUUCCUCUCCAGCAGCUCGCUGCCGACCGCAUCUAGGACGGCCUCGACCUCCUGCUGCUAGCUGCAGGUGCUGGCUAUAGCUUGGACUGGAGCAGGAAAAUUGCAUCAAGGUAGAAGGUGGAUGAUGGUGUUUGUGCCUUUUCUCUUGAAUUGUUGCUGGUGAUGGCUGCAAUUUGAAGACGGCCUCACUAAAUUCUCAAAUGAUGUCAAAGCAACAUUUUCGAGGUUUUGUGCACACGCCCAAGCAAGAGGCUUCAACAUACACUUCCAGCAGGACUUGCUUUUUUUAUUUUCCAUCUUUGCAAGCAAUAAGCUUUGCCAGCCACUUCAAGGAAUACUUCCUUCCUACGCCGCCCUUUUAUUGCCAGCAAAAAGUUUUACCAGCAACUUCCAGGGAUCAGGGCAUAGUGGCACACCCCCAAGUUGUCCAGAUAGAGAGGUGGCGCACGGAAGGUUCAAGUGCUGAUGGUUGGGUGGAUGGAUCCUGCAGAAGAUGGAGGAGGGAGGGGUUGAUGGGGAAGAAAGGGUGGAGGAGGAGCGGGGAAGGGAGAAAAGUCUCCAGAGGUUUUGUGCCGUGUGUUCACACACACUGGGUUGCGUCGGUUACGAUUGGGAGAAAACGAAAUCUGGCCAUGUGCACGAUCAGAUCGUUUCUUUCCUUUUUUGACGCCAGCUGGCAACAAGAGAGGGUCCACUGCCUUAUUUAGGGCGUGUGCCCUGGACCGCUAGCUAGCCAACGGUUGCUGGCUAGUCGCGUCCUUUUUUUAGAUAGAACACAAGAAUUGGCAUAGUGUGAUUACACCUUUGCUCACUGAACACUUGAAUAACCGGAAUCAUCAAAGACCAUGACUUCUGGUACAAACAUGCCAUAUUCAAAACUACUUGUGCUUCAUCUUUUUGAGAACA